CCUACGGGAGGCAGCAGUAGGGAAUUUUCGUCAAUGGGCGCAAGCCUGAACGAGCGAUGCCGCGUGAGUGAAGAAGGCCUUCGGGUCGUAAAGCUCUGUUGCGGGGGAAAAAAGGCAGCAUCAGGAAAUGGGUGCUGACUGAUGGUGCCCCGCCAGAAAGUCACGGCUAACUACGUGCCAGCAGCCGCGGUAAUACGUAGGUGGCGAGCGUUAUCCGGAAGGAUUGGGCGUAAAGGGUGCGCAGGCGGUCCUGCAAGUCUGGAGUGAAACGCAUGAGCUCAACUCAUGCAUGGCUUUGGAAACUGGAGGACUGGAGAGCAGGAGAGGGCGGUGGAACGCCAUGUGUAGCGGUAAAAUGCGUAGAUAUAGGGAAGAACACCAGUGGCGAAGGCGGCCGCCUGGCCUGUUGCUGACGCUGAGGCACGAAAGCGUGGGGAGCAAAUAGGAUUAGAUACCCUAGUAGUC
rnacentral:rRNA from 1 species